rnacentral:rRNA from 1 species
AAUUGGAGGGCAAGUCUGGUGCCAGCAGCCGCGGUAAUUCCAGCUCCAAUAGCGUAUAUUAAAGUUGUUGCAGUUAAAAAGCUCGUAGUUGAAUUUCGGGGUUAGUAGGCUGGUCGUGCCACAGGUAUGAACUGGUCUUACUGACUUCUCCUUUCUGAAGAACUGUAAUGCCAUUAAUUUGGUGUUGCAGGGAAACAGGACUGUUACUUUGAAAAAAUUAGAGUGUUUAAAGCAGGCUAACGCUUGAAUACAUUAGCAUGGAAUAAUGAAAUAGGACGUUUGAUUCUAUUUUGUUGGUUUCUAGGAUCGACGUAAUGAUUAAUAGGGAUAGUUGGGGGCAUUAGUAUUCAAUUGUCAGAGGUGAAAUUCUUGGAUUUAUUGAAGACUAACUACUGCGAAAGCAUUUGCCAAGGAUGUUUUCAUUAAUCAAGAACGAAAGUUAGGGGAUCGAAGACGAUCAGAUACCGUCGUAGUCUUAACCAUAAACUAUGCCGACUAGGGAUCGGAUGAUGUUAAUUUUUUAAUGACUCAUUCGGCGCCUUACGGGAAACCAAAGUGU